rnacentral:rRNA from 1 species
UGGCAUCAGGAGCCGAAGAAGGACGUGACAAGCUGCGAAAAGCUGCGGUUAGGAGCAAAUAUCCAUAGACCCGCAGAUAUCCGAAUGGGGAAACCCGGUACGGCAAUACCGUAUCACUGCAUGGUAAAUACAUAGCCAUGUGGAGGAAACCCUCUGAACUGAAACAUCUAAGUAGGAGGAGGAAGAGAAAGAAACAUCGAUUUCCUAAGUAGCGGCGAGCGAAAGGGAAAGAGGCCAAACCAGAGAUAGCAAUAUCUUUGGGGUUGCGGACUGCAUAAUUGAUUUAACAUCUUUAGCAGAAGUGUAUGGGAAGACACACCAUAGUAGGUAAUAGUCCUGUAAGCGAAAGGGAUGUUAACAUGGCAGUAUCCAGAGUACCACCGGACACGAGGAACCCGGUGGGAAGCCGGGGGGACCACCCCCCAAGCCUAAAUACUACCUGAUGACCGAUAGUGAAAAGUACAGUGAUGGAAAGUUGAAAAGAACCCCGGAAGGGGAGUGAAAAAGAAUCUGAAACCCUAUGUUUACAAGCUGCUAAAGCACUAUAUAUGUGCGAUAGCGUACUUUUUGUAGAACGGUCCGGCGAGUGUAUGUUGCAAGCGAGGUUAAGGUGUUAAGCACUGAAGCCGAAGGGAGACCGAGUGUGAAUAGCGCGUACAGUUUGCAGUAUACGACCCGAAACCGGGUGACCUAACCAUGGACAGGUUGAAGUGGAAGUAAAAUUCCAUGGAGGACCGAACCCACGUCUGUUGAAAAAGGCGGGGAUGAGCUGUGGUUAGCGGUGAAAUUCCAAUCGAACUCGGAUAUAGCUGGUUCUCAUCGAAAUAGCUUUAGGGCUAGCCUCAGGAUAGUUUAGCGGAGGUAAAGCACUGAAUGGGCUAGGGGGCUUCACGGCUUACCGAACCCUAUCAAACUCUGAAUGCCGCAUAAAUGUUUCCUGGGAGUCAGACUGCGUGAGAUAAGUUUCGUAGUCAAAAGGGAAAGAGCCCAGACCUACAGCUAAGGUCCCUAAAUGAAUUUAAGUGGAAAAGGAUGUGCAGUUGCGUAGACAACUAGGACGUUGGCUUAGAAGCAGCCACUCAUUUAAAGAGUGCGUAAUAGCUCACUAGUCGAGUGAUUGUGCGCCGAAAAUGUAACGGGGCUAAAAUUCAUACCGAAGCUUAGGAAUGAUAGUAAUAUUGUUGGUAGAUGAGCGUUGUGUAAGUCUGCGAAGCUACACCGAAAGGAGUAGUGGAGAUAUCACAAGUGAGAAUGCCGGAAUGAGUAGCGAGAAUUAUGUGAGAAUCAUAAUGGUCGAAAAUCUAAGGUUUCUUGAGGAAGGUUCGUCCGCUCAAGGUAAGCCGGGAGCUAAGGCGAGGCCGAGAGGCGUAGUCGAUGCACAUACGGUAAAGAUUCCGUAGCCACCGAAGUCGUUAAAUACAGGGACACAGGAACAUAGCCUAACCCCACCGUUGGUUGAGUGGGGCGUAAGGGAGCGAAAAUUAGUAGCGAAGUAGGUGAUUGUACACUGGCGAGAAAAGCUGUAUGGAUUGACAAGGUGCCCGUACCGCAAACCGACACAGGUAGAUGAGGAGAGAAUCCUAAGGCCAGCGGGAGAAGUGUUGUUAAGGAACUCGGCAAAAUGACCCCGUAACUUCGGGAUAAGGGGAGCCUACGCGAGUAGGCCGCAGAGAAUAGUCUCAAGCGACUGUUUAGCAAAAACACAGGUCUAUGCUAAAUCGAAAGAUGAUGUAUAUGGGCUGACGCCUGCCCGGUGCUGGAAGGUUAAGGGGAAGUGUUAGAGCAAUCGAAGCACUGAACUUAAGCCCCAGUAAACGGCGGCCGUAACUAUAACGGUCCUAAGGUAGCGAAAUUCCUUGUCAGGUAAGUUCUGACCCGCACGAAUGGCGUAACGACUUGAGAGCUGUCUCAACAACAUACCCGGCGAAAUUGAAGUACUGGUAAAGAUGCCAGUUACCCGUGAUAAGACGGAAAGACCCCAUGGAGCUUUACUGUAACUUGAUAUUGAAUUUUUGUAUUACAUGUACAGGAUAGGUGGGAGACAGAGAACUAAUGCCGCCAGGUGUUAGGGAGUCGAUGUUGGGAUACCACUCUUGUAAUAUGAAGGUUCUAACCUGCACCCGUGAAUCCGGGUGGGGGACACUGUCAGGUGGGCAGUUUGACUGGGGCGGUCGCCUCCUAAAAGGUAACGGAGGCGUUCAAAGGUUGGUUCAGCACGGACGGAAAUCGUGCAACGAGUGCAAACGCAUAAACCAGCCUAACUGCGAGA